GCCAUUUUGUGGGGCGGGCGGAAAGAGGUGAGGGUGGUGAGGGCGGUGAGGGCGCACACGAAAGUUCCGAGUAUUUGAGACCCUGCAUGGCUGCGCACAUCCCUGGAAGCGGGUAAAUAUUACUGGUGCUUUCGUCACUGCCGUUUGGGUAGAAGAGUGUGGUGUCUUCUGUGUCAAAAGUGCAGACAGAAUCACAGGCUCACUUAGAUUGGAAAAGACCUCUGGGGUCACCGAGUCCAGCCUGUGACCAACACUGCCUCAUUGAACAGACCAUGGCACUGAGUGCCACAUCCAGCCUUGGCUCAAACACCUCCAGGGGCGGUGACUCCAUCACCUCCACUCCACCACAUGCUGCAGUCCAUUACGGAACAGUCCAGCUUCAGGGCUAUUGGAACGAUGAAUUAUGUUGGUUCUCCCCGCUGUUGACUCUGCAGUGGGAACAGCUGCAAUUUCCCCCGUUGUUCACACAGACAUGGACCAUCGGUGUCUUACAGCACCCGUGUGGGACUGCUGGUUAUUAAAUAUUCUGCUUUGUUUCAUCCAUCUGUGUUCUGAAGAAACACAGUAUUUCAGUAUUGCAGUAGCACUUCCUUAUAAACACAACUUCAUACCUGCAAACAGGAACAACUGCAGGAAUUGCAACUUCAACUGUUUCCAAAAAGAUCCCAUAGAAACAUGAAUUUUAAGUGCCCAGCACAUUUCACCAUUCAACAUUUUGCCCAGUUGGUGGAGGGCGCUGACCAACAUUUUUUAUUUAAUCCACAUUUGUUAAUGACUGUAACAGACUCUGCCCUUCAUUAGCACCCUUGGUCUGGAGUCUGAAUGACCACAUUGGUCCUUAAAUGACUGACACACAAAAAAAGCCUGAAAAAUAUUGUGUAUUAUUCAGAUGAGGUUUUAGAAAAUAAAAGCAAAAAGGACCAGUAAACAAGGAUCUGCAGCUUUCACAAAUAGUUAAUCCUGCUUUUAAAAAUACUUUCCUCUCCUGCUGUUGUUUGAGGAGCAGACUGCUGUACUCCAACACUAAGAUACUCUAUUUCUACAAUACUUGGAGCUCUUCAGGCUGAAAAUUGCUGUGAAACAUCCUGCCAAGAUGAUAAUACAUAUUUCUUGCCAUUUCUUCCUAAUGCAUGCAGGAAUCCUCAUUUGCAAUAUAAGAAAGCAGCAGGGAAAAGCAGCAUUUAUUUAGCUUAAUUUAGCAAAUGAUUCAGUUUAUUUACAAAUCUCAUCUUUCUGCUGUUCAAACGCCUGUUGGAAAUGCCAAUGAAAAAUAGUUCAAUACAUUUUUGGUGUCCUGUUAUUUUUCAAUAUUUUAAUCUGGAAGGUGAUGAAGUCAGGCUGAGCUCAGCCUCCUGAUUUCUGCAAAAAUUGUGGUCUUAACAGAACACAGAAGCCAUCACACCCUAGAGGAGUGGAAGUGCAAUGUGAGGCAAUGAAAGGCUCCAUCCCGAGCUGUGAAGCUGGACCCAGCUGUUGUUGAGGCUGUUGCUGGCAGAGCAGAGCAAGAUCUAAAUGUGUGACCUGGAACUUGCCAUGGCCCUGUGAUGGCCAGGUUGCUCUCUGCCUUCACUCCCCCAUACAGCCAGCCACAGUUAGCUGGAAGCCAGAAUUUGUUCUGCAAACGCCCAAGCUCUAAGAACACAAACUUGUUAAAGCUGAGACCAUAUUUGGAAGAGAUCUGGGUCAAGGAAAAUAAUCAAAGGAAAGUGCAUUCCUGGAGCAUCAUGUGAGGAGGCCAGAGCACGCACACAGGGCCCAGUGCUAAUGCUCAGGGACAACCCUCAGUAGCUCCCUGCCACUGAUGUUCACCCUGAGAACCACCUCACCAGCAAAGCCAGGCCCGUGUAAAUGAGGUGUUCAGCAGCACACCAUCAGUAGCAUCAUGACCAUGACAGAAAGCUAAAAACUAAUCCAGACCAGCUCCACAGGCUCCAUCCUCACAGCCACAGGUACCUGCCUGUAACCCUGCCACUAUUUUGGCUGAAGUUACCACCAUUUCUUAAAACUGUAAACAUGCCUGAAGGACUGAAACACCAAAGUAUUCUCUCACUCCUUGAAAUUCCAGCGUUCUUUUUCUUGUUUUAGGAAGAUCCCAAAUCCAUCCUUUGGUGUUUGUUUUAUACUUGGCUGCCAAAAUUACAGAAUUUCAGAAAAACUUUGCUUAAAAUUUUUAUUUUUUUUUUCCACUUGGAAGACUCAACUAUGAAAAGCCCCUACAGAUGGUACUUUAAGCUUCUGAAUAUUUUAUUUAAUUACCAGCCACAUACACAUAAACUAAAUUGCAGUACUUUAAUUGUACAAGUAAAAUCUCAAGGAGCCAGCACAGGAACAACUACAGAACAUGCUGGCUGUGGUCUACACUCAUUGUCUGGGUUUAUGCUUAUACCAUAAAUUCAGCAUGCAAAAUAGGCCUUAAGCUGCCUGUUUACACAAAAGGUGGCAACCAUGUACCAUAUAGUUCAGGGAGUAUAACAUUCUGAACUGUGAUAGCACACAUUUUUUAUCUUGCUGUGAAUUUUUUCCCCCACACAAAAUACUGUAUUUAGUGUCUCCUGUUUUCCUAGCUAGGACAUUAUUCCUUCAUAAUGGUGGUGGUUGGGGGGAUACUGUUGUUUGAAUCUCUGUGGGUCACUUGCAUGGAGAAUGAGGGAGCUGGGCUGGCAGCAGGGGUCUCGUUCUGCCUCCCCUCCCUGGUGUGGGCCUGCUGCACAAUGACACCACCACAUUAGGUAAAAUGCAAGAAAAAACUCAUUCAUGAUCCAGUGCUAAAUACUUGUAUCACUUAUCUACCCAAAACAUCACUGUUCAUUCAAGUACUGAGAGCAUAAAGGCAGCCUUGAAAGCUGGUAGCAUUAUCACCUGGGCAGGUAACAGAACAAGCUCUGCUUAUAGUUAUUUUAAAAACAAACCAAAACAAAACCACACCAUCCCUGUGUUUUCCCACAACUGGCAACAUGAAUCUGACCACAGUAGAUUCCCUGGAAAACAGCCAAAUCAUGAUAUUUAUAAAGAUCUUGUCUAUAUCCAUGGACACCCUUGUGAAGAUCUACAUAUAGUGGUGUACAUUAUUAAUUGUAUCUUCUCCAAACUUUUAUUCUCAUCUUGUUUCCACUAUUUUCCUGUGUAUUUGUUAACUUGAGAGCUUCUUUUCCCUGGCUUUUAUGCAUUUUUCUCCUGUUUUCACAUAUCCAAACACCUUCACUGUGACUUUCUUAACUGAGUAUGGGCUGUGUUGCAUUGCAUUUCCAGAAUGAAAACAAAACAUACAAGCUGCUCUUCACAUCACCCUUCUCCAAACACCGUGAGGUUUAACUGUCAUAGGAAAAAACACAGAAGCAGUGCAGAAAAAAAAAAGCAAUGCAGGAAACAGAGGAGCUAUUCAGAAAGACAGUUUCUGAAAAACAUACAUUGAAAUUGCUUUUAUUUUUGCUGGAAUUAAAAAAACAUAAGAAUAUUGACAUUGCAUUUAAAACCCCCAGGAAGUUAAAGAUUAUACAUUUUUGCAUCUCUGAAAUCCAAUAAACAUGUCUCCAUCAUGCCUUUUAUAGGCGAUAUCAAUGUAUGAACAUUUUGAACCAAGAUUUUUAAAGAAAUUGUCAGGCUGUCCAAACUCCACAGUGUUCUUCAUUAAAUAUACAAAAUGUGUCAUUCUUCUGGGAAGUGACACUGUCCAAAAGUUGGACAAUUCAACAAAGAAUUUUUAGGAAAGACAUCAAACCCCAGUUCUUAAGGGAAUGAAAACUGAUGUAUUUAAAUGUAAUCACAGAGCUUUAGUUUGGGAUUUCUGUUUUAAGUUUUGAGAAGUGUUACUUUGUGUGCUGCUUCUCCCUGCUCUACUCUUAUGUAUUAAUACUGGCAAGUACUACAUUAGGAGUGCUCUUAUCCUAAAAGUAGACUGUUAAGCUGGUAUAGUCAUUCCUUUCCUUCUUCCCUGUACUGCAAAUAAGGUACAGUGACACGGUAACAGACAGUGGUAAUGCAAACACAGAGAGUCACUUAAAUUACCUGAAGUUUGGAAAAAGAAGUUGUGAAUUUUUACAGCCAUGAUGCUGAUUGUAUGAUUUGUCUUCACCAGGGUUAAAGCUGGUUACACAGCUGGUUUAAAAUGACACAUUUUUUCUCAAUGUGUCAGGUAAGAAAAGCUUUCUAAGAAAGUCCUUUUCAAAGUCAUCAUCUUGAAAGUCUUGCAGCUGAUAGAACGAGACAAUUCAACUUCAGCUCCAGACAAGCAGACAAGUUAAAUGUUUAGGAGUAGAGUCCAUCAUGAAUCCUACUGGUUAUGGGGAUGAGACCUCAAAAACAUCAGUCUUGCCUGUCCCAGUAGCUUAUUGACUGCAAUGAUAGUAUUUGUGGAAUUCAUUCAUAAAUAUCACUAUACAUUUUUACUUAAAGCCAUGUCCUAACAGUAAUAAAGAUGACAAUCCCGGGGGAA